GUGAAGCGGCAAAAGCUCAAAUUUGAAAUCUGGCACCUUCGGUGUCCGAGUUGUAAUUUGAAGAUUGUAACCUUGGGGUUGGCUCUUGUCUAUGUUUCUUGGAACAGGACGUCACAGAGGGUGAGAAUCCCGUGCGAUGAGAUGCCCAAUCCUAUGUAAGGUGCUUUCGAAGAGUCGAGUUGUUUGGGAAUGCAGCUCUAAGUGGGUGGUAAAUUCCAUCUAAAGCUAAAUAUUGGCGAGAGACCGAUAGCGAACAAGUACAGUGAUGGAAAGAUGAAAAGAACUUUGAAAAGAGAGUGAAAAAGUACGUGAAAUUGUUGAAAGGGAAGGGUUUGAGAUCAGACUCGAUAUUUUGUGAGCCUUGCCUUCGUGGCGGGGUGACCCGCAGCUUAUCGGGCCAGCAUCGGUUUGGGCGGUAGGAUAAUGGCGUAGGAAUGUGACUUUGCUUCGGUGAAGUGUUAUAGCCUGCGUUGAUGCUGCCUGCCUAGACCGAGGACUGCGAUUUUAUCAAGGAUGCUGGCAUAAUGAUCCCAAACCGCCCGUCUUGAAA
rnacentral:rRNA from 1 species